AUACUUACCUGGAGCCUGGGCCCCGUUGAUCACCAAGGACGAGCCCCCAGGGCGAGGCGCGGGCAUUGCACUGCGCUAGCGUUGACCCAUGCCACUUCCCCAAACUGGGACAGAUGCAGCAUGCAAAUGGC
rnacentral:snRNA from 1 species